UGUGGAGGAUAGCUGCUUGCAACAAGUCCUCUCACCAGCUGGGAGCAUUAUACCGGUAAAACACAUUUCUACACUUUGGGCCCUUAAAGCCAUAGAGUACUCAUCACAAUGCAAGGUCUGACUGAUUACUUUUGGUAAGAAGCCAUCUACAAUUCAAGAAAUCAAAAUACCUGAAGAUUUGUAUGCUAUGAGGAGGUCUAAAUUUGACAUUUGAAGAAAAAACUAGAGCCUGAAGGAAAAGCAGCAAAAGCAAGAUGAGCAACAGUGUGAGUAGCUUGACAAAUGCAAAUGUUUCUGUAGGGCGG
rnacentral:lncRNA from 1 species